rfam:Firmicutes bacterium CAG:194 genomic scaffold, scf68
AACAAGCGCUAGGGGAGCAACUGCUGAGAUUGACCUAUGGUCUAACCCUCAAUACCUGAUCCGGAUAAUGCCGGCGAAGGGAAGCCGAAAAUACACAGC